rnacentral:lncRNA from 1 species
AUGGCUUCUUGGGAAGGGGCGGGGCGGGCUCCUGGGGCCCCGGGCACCUCCCUUCUCCGCCCCGCCCGGAGGAGGGCCCGGAGGCUGGGGACCGAGCCAGACGAGGAACUCGAAGGCAUCAGUUCGGGAGACAGCUUACGUUGUGCUACAAGGGAAGUGUGCUGGGCUGGGCAGGUAAGGAGCACCCCCCCCCCCCCAGCCUUUUUCCGCACUGCCCUCUACUUCCUUGUUCUUUCACCUCCUUCCUCUUAGACCUCUGUCCCUGCCCCCUAGGGGCAUUUGGUGUUUGGGUGGGUGGGCGGGGGUCUGUGUCCCCUUUGUAGGGUACUACUACGAAUGGGGGGGGGCCUUCCCUUCCAUCUCCUGCCGCUGUAAAAUUGGGGUGAGAGGGGGUAGUUUCUUCUCCUUCCCCCCUUUCCAGGUACAUCCAAGGUUAA